rnacentral:sRNA from 1 species
UUAAUAUCCCUGCAUGCUCAAGUCAACUUGUUCACCCACAGCACGGGAAACAGUGCAAGCUUCCCUGUACUGCCCUGCCAAUAUGCCUCAACUCUGAUCUGAAGGGCUGAGCUCUGCGGGUGAGCGGUUAGCUCAUCCCCCAAGCUCAUUCACUCCUUCCCGUUU